UCCUCGGUGGCGCAAUUGGCUAGCGCGUCUGACUGUUAGUAAACUGUUAUCAGGAGGUUGAAAGUUCGAGCCUUUCCCGGGGAG
rnacentral:tRNA from 1 species